rnacentral:rRNA from 1 species
UUUGUCCUGUGACUGCGUACCUUUUGUAUAAUGGGUCAGCGACUUAUAUUCAGUGGCAAGGUUAACCAUCUAGGGGAGCCGUAGGGAAACCGAGUCUUAACUGGGCGUUCAGUCUCUGGAUAUAGACCCGAAACCAGGUGAUCUAGCCAUGGGCAGGUUGAAGGUUGAGUAACAUCAACUGGAGGACCGAACCGACUAAUGUUGAAAAAUUAGCGGAUGACUUGUGGCUAGGGGUGAAAGGCCAAUCAAACCUGGAGAUAGCUGGUUCUCCCCGAAAGCUAUUUAGGUAGCGCCUCGGACGAAUACUACUGGGGGUAGAGCACUGUUAAGGCUAGGGGGUCAUCCCGACUUACCAACCCUUUGCAAACUCCGAAUACCAGUAAGUACUAUCCGGGAGACACACGGCGGGUGCUAACGUCCGUCGUGGAGAGGGAAACAACCCAGACCGCCAGCUAAGGUCCCAAAUUACUACUAAGUGGGAAACGAUGUGGGAAGGCUCAGACAGCCAGGAUGUUGGCUUAGAAGCAGCCAUCAUUUAAAGAAAGCGUAAUAGCUCACUGGUCGAGUCGGCCUGCGCGGAAGAUGUAACGGGGCUAAGUAGUAAACCGAAGCUGCGGCAAUGCACUUUAGUGC